UCUUUUGUUUGUUGUUGUUGUGAGGGAGAGAGCAUUUCUGUCGUCUAUACACAAAACUUUCCAUUUCACUUACAAGAUGGUGAAAAGAACGAACCUUGCUUAUUAUACACGGUUUUUAACGCUAUAACACUUCUUUACUUGGAUUUUACUCUCAAAAACUAUGACUGUGUUGGUGAUAGAACCCUGGCAGGAAGAGGUGACGUUGCCUUGGAUAUUCAGAGUGAGGGAGACUGGCAGAAGACACAAGGUUCGGAGGCCUCCAGAGAGCUGCCCAGAGUGAAGCUUGUGGUAUAGAGGAACAGCUGCUGAUCAUCAAGCUUACGGAAUGACUGGAGGAAAGUGGGAGGAGCCUGGAGGGAGUGGUGGAGAUACCAGGAUAUGUGACCACCACCACCACGCUCACCACCACCACCACCACCACCACCACCACUACCACCACCACCACCAUUGGAGAUGCCCCUCUGUAGUUGCACAUUACGGCCCUGUUGUGUACCCUGGUGGCCUUCAUAGUUGACCGCUGAGUGCAGCUGUCGGUGACUGCAGGAAUGGACCUCAGAUGGCGGACACAACAGCAUUACCAAGUCAAGAAGUUGUCCAGUAUUUUAUCUCUGCUCUCAAACAAGCAAUGACCAGUGGUGGUGUUGUUCAUGUCUGGCUUGUGUGUGUGUGUGUGUGUGUGUGUGUGUGUGUGUGUGUGUGUGUGUGUGUGUGUGUGUGUGUGUGUGUGUGUGUGUGUGUGUGAGUUUGUUCAUCCAUUAUGAUUUGAAGAGAUUGUGUUUGUAUUUUUAUUGUGGGACUCUGUGAUUAUACUUUGAAAUGAUACGGCCUUAAAAUUGACCUUUGACCCUGUGUGGUAGUGGAGUGAGGCUUGUGACAGUUAGGAAUUGGUUGUCAAAAAGUGACCACAUUGGUUUUUCCUCAGUUGCUUUAGCCAUGAAAGUUCUAUUCCUUGUGUUCUUUGUCAUGAUGAUGUUUGAUUCCCUUGGUUUCCAAUUGGUUGCCUUUGUGUGAGUUUUGAUCCAGUCAUUUACUUCCCUACUUACUGAAUUCCAGGAAACAAAGGGAUUGCUUGCUCCUUUUGCUUCCUUGUGGACAAAUUCACUGCUAAUAGUUUGUUAUUUGGAAGUUUGAUUGAAGGCUUGUUCCUCCCUCUCCUCCACCCUAUGACUACUUGAUGCUAUCUAGUAAAAUUCUUCACAAUGAUGUUUUCCAUGCCUUCGCUGCCCUAAACCCUUGGAAAGCUUGGAGGGGGUCCCUCCUCUUGUUCUUCAAAACUGCAUUUCUGUGCUUGCACCUUGCCAAGUCAAACUCUUUCAACUCUGUGUGUCAACAUGUAAUAAUAUUACUUCUUGCUGGAAGUUUGCCUACAUUCAGCCUGUUCCUGAAAAGGGUGACCAUUCUAAUCCCUCAUACUACUGUCCUGUUGCUUUAAUUUUCUGCCUAUCUGAAGUUUUUGAAUUUAUCCUCAAAAGGAAGAUUCUUAAACAUCUAUCACUUGACAACUUUCUAUCUAAUUGCCAGUAUGUGUUCCAUAAUGGCCAGACAAAAGAAAACAUGUGUUCAGUGGCUUCAGCCACCACCAAUGGUCUCUCUUUUUAAGAUUUCCUGCUUAACUAAUGUUUAAGUAUCUCAUUACAAAGAUAAGAAUAUAGAUAUCAUAAAGAUGGUUAUUUAUAUUGAUUAGCAUAUUAGCAUUAUGAAUGUUCCUGUUCAUAUGAUUAUAACUAUCAGCAGAAAAAAUUGUAUAACAUGUGUCAUUCAUUUACUUGAAGCUGCAUUGUCAAGGAAGCUUGAUACACUUUUCAGUGAGUGAUGUGUUUAUGUGCUAACAUAUGUGUGCUUGGAGCAUAAAAGAUAGUCUACACUAUAUUUUGACAAAUAAACAGUUGGUAUGAAAAAAUUACUUUUACCUACAGCACUUACUUAAUUUGCAUUUGGGCACCAUCUCUUUGAAAAUAGUCCAUUUGAGCAGCAAUACAGCAGCACAUUCAGCACUGUUGUCACCCCUGAAACUUAUUCUGGAAGUGUUGUUCUCUAAGCAUGUCAAGCAUCUACUGUUUGUGCAGAAUCAUCUCCACAAUGGACAGAAGAAGCAUCAGGCCAAAGUCUGUCAGGAAUUCUGUCAGCCAGCCAUGAAUGACCCAACCUUCAUGUCAAAGGACAUCUCUGGGAACAAAAUUUGGGUUUACAGGUAUAACCCCCUAACCCAAACAAGUCUUUACAAUAGAAGAGUCCAGCAUCUCCAUGCAGGGCAUGGUUCAGGUCUGGAAAACCACUAAGAGCAUUUUUAUUCAAUGUCUUUGAGAUUCAUAGGAUAGUUCAUCAUGAAUUCAUCCCCCAAAAAAGAUCAUCAACUGCCAGUUCUACUCAAGUGUUUUGAGGCAUCUGAGGACAUUAAUUUUGGCAGAUAUGGCUUGAAAUGUGGUGCAAGGCUAAAUGGAUGCUCCAUGAUGAUGAUGAUGAUGAUGAUGAUGAUGAUGAUGCACCCUCUCUUACAAAUUAUCUCUUAUAAUGCAUGGGCUUCUCAGAUGCAUGAUUAUCCCUUUGCAGCUGCCCUACUCCUCAGAUUUGGUACCAACCCUUGUGACUUGUGUCAUGCUCCCCACAUGGACAUUCAUUCUAUGGAAACAAUGAGAAAUUGAUCUCAAGAUGAGAUAAGUCUUUAGCCAUGACAAGUUGUAGCCAGCCAGGGAUUGAACCUCUCACUGAGAGAACACAAGGAUGACACCUUAGACAUUGAGACCAUGAUGACUGUCAGGUCCCAAGUUCAGUUUUAGGACAUUUAUACUCCUAAUCUCUGCACUUUUUUUUCCUGGAAAUAAUAAAGAUGCAGCUGAA